rnacentral:rRNA from 1 species
CGCGAAUGGCUCAUUACAACAGCCAACAAAUCUACUUGAUCUUGACACAAUCCUACUUGGAUAACUGUGGUAAUUCUAGAGCUAAUACAUGCAUUAAAGCUCUGACCUUCGGGGAAGAGUGCAUUUAUUAGAACAAAACCAAGCGGCUUCGGCUGUUUUCGGUUGACUCAUAGUAACUGAGCUGAUCGCAUGGUCUUGCACCGGCGACGUGUCUUUCGAGUAUCUGCCGUAUCAACUUUCGAUGGUAGUGUAUCUGACUACCAUGGUGAUCACGCGUAACGGAGAAUAAGGGUUCGACUCCGGAGAGUUCGCCUGAGAAAUCGCGAACACAUCUAAGGAAGGCAGCAGGCGCGAAAAUUACCCACUCUCAGCACGAGGAGGUAGUGACGAAAAAUAACGAGACCGUUCUCUUAUGAGGCCGGUCAUCGGAAUGGGUACAAUUUAAGCCCUUUAACGAGUAUCUAUGAGAGGGCAAGUCUGGUGCCAGCAGCCGCGGUAAUUCCAGCU